CCCGCGGUGACGUCAUCACCAUUGCACAACUCCCGCUUCCCCUUUUCCCGCCAAUUCCGGCCCCGCCCUGGCGACAGUGAGGGGACAUUGAGGGGACAGAGAGGGGACAGAGAGGGGACACUGAGGGGACAGUGAGGGGACAUUGAGGGGACAGUGAGGGGACAGUGAGGGGACACAGAGGGGACACAGAGGGGACAGUGAGGGGACAGUGAGGGGACACUGAGGGACAUUCAAGAUGGCGCUGAGGAGCUUCAUCCCAUUCCUGGCGUUUCUCCCGAUCCUUUUCCCGCCGGCGGCGCCUUCAGGUAACGCAAAAUUCCCAAAAAAAUCCAAAUUUGGGGCAAAUUUGGGACCUUUUCUCCACCUUCUCCACCUUCUCCAUUCCACCACCAAAAAAUUGAAUUUUUGGGCCAUUUUUGGGACCAAAACUCUGAUUUUUUGGGCUAUUUUUAGUUUUUUUUUGACCCAAACCAAGCCGGGUCAUGGUGGGACCUCCUCCAACCAAAAAAAAUCAGGAUUUUGGGAAAAAUUGGGAUUUUUGGGGAAAAAUUGGGACGUUCUUCUCCAUCUUCUCCAUCUUCUCCACCUUCUCCACCUUCUCCACCUUCUCCACCUUCUCCACCUUCUCCAUCUUCUCCACCUUCUCCAUCUUCUCCACCUUCUCCACCUUCUCCACCUUCUCCACCUUCUCCAUCUUCUCCACCUUCUCCACCUUCUCCACCUUCUCCAUCUUCUCCACCUUCUCCACCUUCUCCACCUUCUCCAUCUUCUCCAUCUUCUCCACCUUCUCCAAAACGUGGAAUUUUGGCUCAUUUUCCCCAUUUCCCUCCCCAGACUUUCCUCUCCCCGCCCCCAACAUCUCGGUGACACCACCCAAGUCUCAGUUCCUCAUCGGCGACUCCGUGUCCAUCUCCUGCUCGGCGCCGCCGCCGCCGCGCCCCGACCGCCUCCAGGGCUUCCGCUUCACCGGCACGUCUGGCUGGGUCACCGACGUCCUCACCUCCAGGAACCGCUUCGUCCACACCUUCACCGUCACCGGUCCACGCGAUGGUGGCUUCCACGCCUGCUCCUACACGGUCCUGCGGCGCGGUGGUGGACAUCUCCGCUCCUUGACCAGCCGGGCCGUGCUCAUCGAUGUCCGAGAUCGUCCAGCCCAACCCAACCUGACGGUGGCGCCCUCCAGCGUCACGGUGGAAGGGCAGCCCCUCGUCUUCUCCUGCGCGGCCCCACCCGGCGCCGCCGAGCGCAGAUUUGGGUUCUUCCAGGAGGAGCUGGAGGUCACGGGUGGGAUCUGGGAAGGUUCUGGAACCGGCAGCGCCCAGCUGAGGGUGGAGAAGAGCGACCGGAACCGGACCGGGAACUUCAGCUGCCGCUACGAGGAGAUGACCGAGGGGCGCUGGAUCGCCUCCUACCCCAGCGAUGCCGUCCAGGUCAUCGUCCAAGGUCCGUGCCCGGCCCCUCUGCUCUCGGUGGAGCCGCCCUCGGGCGCGGUGGCCGCGGGGCACCGGCUGCGCCUGACCUGCGCCGCGCCCCGGCGCCGCUUCCGCCGCCGCUUCCGCUUCUUCCGCGACGGCGCCGAGGUGGCGCCGGGCGCUGGUGACGUCAUCGGUGACGUCACCGAGGAGGGGGCGGAGCUGCUUUUCCCGCGGAUUUCCCCGGAACUGGCCGGGAAUUUCAGCUGCCGGGUGGAGGAGGAGGUGGGCGGGGCCUGGCUGGAGGCCCCGCCCAGCCGGGGCGUGGCCGUGGUGGUCAGGGCUCAGUUUGACUUCCUCCCAUUGGUCAUCGGUGGCGUCGUGGGCGUGGCCUCGCUGCUCCUGGGGCUCCUAUUGGCUGCUUGGCUGUGCCGGAGGAAGAGGGGAGGUUCCCGCUGGCGGGGGCUGAGCCCUGGCGACGACAACAGCGCCUUCCCCAUGGGGGGCUACGAGGUGGCCGCCUGA
rnacentral:lncRNA from 1 species